CAAAAUCACUGGGGGAGAGAACAGGAGGAGGGGGGCCAUUGCAGGCAAUCUUCCAAGCUCCCCGGAGGUCCACUCACACAGGCAGCUGUCUUGUUUGUGAAACCAGGAAACAGAUUGGCUGCCACAGAAGGACAUUGUCUUCCAUCAGAUAAGCUUCUGCAUGGACCAGUGCCAGUACCGUAUCGGCCUGCCUUCUGCCUGAAGCCUAAAUCCCAGGGUCCCUGCAGAGAAAAGAAGCUCAGGUUCUACUACGACGAGAACACCAAGCGCUGCGAAGGCUUUAUAUAUGGAGGCUGCCUGGGG